UACGAAGGGGGCUAGCGUUGUUCGGAAUUACUGGGCGUAAAGCGCGUGUAGGCGGGCGAAUAAGUCAGGGGUGAAAUGCCAAGGCUCAACCUUGGAACUGCCUUUGAUACUGUUCGUCUUGAGUCCGGGAGAGGUGAGUGGAACUGCGAGUGUAGAGGUGAAAUUCGUAGAUAUUCGCAAGAACACCAGUGGCGAAGGCGGCUCACUGGCCCGGAACUGACGCUGAGACGCGAAAGCGUGGGGAGCAACAGG
rnacentral:rRNA from 1 species